CGUAGCUAAACCUUAGCUCAAGUAAUGUUAGGGUGGAGCAUAGGGUAGGCUUCUUGUAGUGAAUACCUUGUAGCUAUAUAACUUAUAUUUACAUUGGUGAGAAACAAUUCGUGGGCCUGCAGAUCUUGGGCAUGUCGACCGUUUAUUGAUUACAAUAUUUGACAGUUUGAAUGGGAAAUGGCAGAAGGAACUCGAGAAAAUUGGGAGGCAAUAUCCGUUUAAACCUUUGAAGCUCAAUUUUCUUUACCAUUAUGAGUUUCAAAAUGUUGAAUUUGGUCUAUAUGCUCAUUGUCUCCAUUGAUCAUUUUCUGUUUGCCUUUGUUAUAACUUGUAUAUGUAUGUUAAUUAAAUCAUAUUGGCAUCUGAUUUUUACACACCUCACUCUUGAGUCUGAACAUUUGUACAUCUUUUAUUUUCCCCAUAUGGAUAUAUGGCGUGGAAGGAUAAAACACAUGCAUCAAUGUGGGCCCACAGAUGUGGGAUCUUCACUCUGACAAAAUGUCCUUUGAUGUCUUCAGUCCUGCUUUCCAAUGCUAGUGUAAUUUCAGAUUGGAUGUCUUUGCUCCUACCUUUGGCUGUGGAAAGAGGAGUUUGUGUAAUUACCAAUAUGGGUGCAAGUUUUUGUCAUCCUACCAGGAAGUGUCUUAAGCUUGAUCAUGUCCAAGCCCCAUGGAUUUCAUUUUUCUUUUCUACAGUUUAUCUUAGUAUGAUAUGGAAGACAACUGCAAGAGCUUACGACUUAGCUACUCUCAAGUAUUGGGACUAGCAACUCAUAUCAACUUCCU